GUGCUGGUAGCUUAAUGGAAGAGCUGCCGGUUGACUGGGCGGUGCUACGAAGCACACACCGCAAGGUGGAAGGCCCGAUAGCUCGGAGGAUGUUGGUUCAAAUCCAACCCGGCGCA
rnacentral:tRNA from 1 species